rnacentral:rRNA from 1 species
UACGGGGGGGGCAAGCGUUGUUCGGAAUUACUGGGCGUAAAGGGCUCGUAGGUGGCCAACUAAGUCAGACGUGAAAUCCCUCAGCUUAACUGGGGAACUGCGUCUGAUACUGGAUGGCUUGAGUUUGGGAGAGGGAUGCGGAAUUCCAGGUGUAGAGGUGAAAUGCGUAGAUAUCUGGAGGAACACCGGUGGCGAAGGCGGCAUCCUGGACCAACACUGACACUGAUGAGCGAAAGCGUGGGGGAGCGAACAGG